AGUUUGAUCCUGGCUCAGGAUGAACGCUGGCGGCGUGCCUAAUACAUGCAAGUCGAACGAAUCUCUUCGGAGAUGAGUGGCGAACGGGUGAGUAAUACAUAGGUAACCUGCCCCUGUGCGGGGGAUAACAGGAGGAAACUCCUGCUAAUACCGCAUAGCCAUGAGCACCGCAUGGAGCUCAUGCCAAAUAUCCUUUCGGGGAUAGCGCAGGGAUGGACCUAUGGCGCAUUAGCUUGUUGGCGGGGCAACGGCCCACCAAGGCAACGAUGCGUAGCCGGCCUGAGAGGGCGGACGGCCACAUUGGGACUGAGACACGGCCCAGACUCCUACGGGAGGCAGCAGUAGGGAAUUUUCGGCAAUGGGGGAAACCCUGACCGAGCAACGCCGCGUGAGCGAAGAAGGCCUUCGGGUCGUAAAGCUCUGUUGUAAAGGAAGAACGGCGCAUACAGGAAAUGGUAUGCGAGUGACGGUACUUUACCAGAAAGCCACGGCUAACUACGUGCCAGCAGCCGCGGUAAUACGUAGGUGGCGAGCGUUAUCCGGAAUCAUUGGGCGUAAAGAGGGAGCAGGCGGCCGCAAGGGUCUGUGGUGAAAGACCGAAGCUAAACUUCGGUAAGCCAUGGAAACCGGGCGGCUAGAGUGCGGAAGGGGAUCGUGGAAUUCCAUGUGUAGCGGUGAAAUGCGUAGAUAUAUGGAGGAACACCAGUGGCGAAGGCGACGGUCUGGGCCGCAACUGACGCUCAUUCCCGAAAGCGUGGGGAGCAAAUAGGAUUAGAUACCCUAGUAGUCCACGCCGUAAACGAUGGUCACUAAGUGUCGGGGGUCAAACCCCGGUGCUGCAGUCAACGCAAUAAGUGACCCGCCUGAGUAGUACGUUCGCAAGAAUGAAACUCAAAGGAAUUGACGG
rnacentral:rRNA from 1 species